AUGGUGAAGAAGCAACCAUUGAGCUCGCUCUUCUACCCCGUCAACUCGGCCAACAAAGACACUCCGCCGUCGUCGCCUCCCACUCCGACGGCCACCCCACAGGCAUGGAUGUGGCCUUCCUGCAAGAACCCAACGGCUCAUUCCUUCCGGUCCCCGUCCGCUUCUGCGGCGGCGGCGGUGGCAGCCAAGAACGCCGCAUCCCUUUUCGUCGACUCCUCCGCCCGCAUGCACCACGACUGUGCCGCCUCCGACAGCCUCUCCACGGAGUCCGAAGCCUCCGGCGCCGCGGCCGAGGACAUGGCCGACGCCAUAGUCCGCGGUCUCCGGUCCGACCGCCUCCGCUUCGAGCCCCGCGCGCCCUCUAGCUCCAUCCUCGAGAAGAAGCCACCUCCAGCACCCGCGCGCGGCCAUGAGGCUGCGGGGGCGACGUCGUUCGGCGGCGGCGUCGCGGUGGCGUUCGAGUCCGUGGACCCGUACCGGGACUUCCGGUCGUCAAUGGAGGAGAUGAUGACGGCGCACGGCGCGGGCGACUGGGACUGGCUAGAGAAGAUGCUGGGGUGGUACCUCCGCGCCAACGGCAAAGGCACCCACGCCGCCAUCGUCAGCGCGUUCGUCGACCUGGUCGUCACCACGACAGCCAGCUCCUCCUCCGGCCACUCCUCCUUCACGCUCGCCGGGAGCGACUUGGAGAGCAGUAGCGCCGGCCGCAAUGGAUCUUUCCGCCUGAGGUGA
rnacentral:rRNA from 1 species